rnacentral:rRNA from 1 species
UACGUAGGGUGCGAGCGUUGUCCGGAAUUACUGGGCGUAAAGAGCUCGUAGGUGGUUUGUCGCGUUGUCCGUGAAAUUCCCUGGCUUAACUGGGGGCGUGCGGGCGAUACGGGGCAGACUGGAGUACUGCAGGGGAGACUGGAAUUCCUGGUGUAGCGGUGGAAUGCGCAGAUAUCAGGAGGAACACCGAAUGGCGAAGGCAGAUCUGCUGGGCCGUUACUGA